rnacentral:rRNA from 1 species
AACGAACGCUGGCGGCAGGCUUAACACAUGCAAGUCGAGCGCCCCGCAAGGGGAGCGGCAGACGGGUGAGUAACGCGUGGGAACAUACCCUUUGGUUCGGAAUAACUCAGGGAAACUUGAGCUAAUACCGGAUACGUCCGUAAGGAGAAAGAUUUAUCGCCAAAGGAUUGGCCCGCGUCCGAUUAGCUAGUUGGUGAGGUAACGGCUCACCAAGGCUACGAUCGGUAGCUGGUCUGAGAGGAUGAUCAGCCACAUUGGGACUGAGACACGGCCCAAACUCCUACGGGAGGCAGCAGUGGGGAAUAUUGGACAAUGGCGCAAGCCUGAUCCAGCCAUGCCGCGUGAGUGAUGAAGGCCUUAGGGUUGUAAAGCUCUUUGUCCGGGAAGAUAAUGACUGUACCGGAAGAAUAAGCCCCGGCUAACUUCGUGCCAGCAGCCGCGGUAAU